rnacentral:lncRNA from 1 species
UCCCAACGGGAGUCUUCUUCGUUUCUUUCCUUCUUUUUUUCUUUCUUUUUAGGCUGCUUUGAGAUUCAUGUGAUAAAAAAAAUCAGGAUAUCACAACCUACCCCACAAAAGCAUCAAAGAGACUUAUUAAAGCCAUGACCUCUCCAGAUAUAGAACAUGAGAAAUCUCUUAAGGCCAUGGGUAUGAGCUCUUUUCAAGUAAAAGAUGACGAUUUCUAAUACCACCCA